ensembl:lncRNA
GCAUAGUUCCCAGGAAUGAGGAAUUGAUUGUAAUGGAGUACUCUUUUAGGUGUAGCCACAUCUGGAUUAGUGUGUCCUGCUCUGGGUACCACAUUCAGAUAAUGACUCAUAAUCUAGAGUUAUCUUGAAGAAGGCAACUAGGAUGUGUGCUCUGUCAUCCACUCAUAAAAGUCAACCCCGAAAUAGAGAUUUCUGGACUAUGUUUCAAAGCAUUCUGACCUAUGUCAUCCUGGGAAAUAGGUAAUCU